CCUACGGGAGGCAGCAGUGGGGAAUAUUGCACAAUGGGGGAAACCCUGAUGCAGCGACGCCGCGUGAAGGAAGAAGUAUUUCGGUAUGUAAACUUCUAUCAGCAGGGACGAAAAUGACGGUACCUGACUACGAAGCCCCGGCUAACUACGUGCCAGCAGCCGCGGUCAUACGUAGGGGGCAAGCGUUAUCCGGAUUUACUGGGUGUAAAGGGAGCGUAGGCGGGUUAGCAAGUCAGAAGUGAAAGCCCGGGGCUCAACGCCGGGACUGCUUUUGAAACUGUUGAACUAGAGGGCAGGAGAGGUAAGUGGAAUUCCUAGUGUAGCGGUGAAAUGCGUAGAUAUUAGGAGGAACACCAGUGGCGAAGGCGGCUUACUGGACUGUAAAUGACGCUGAGGCUCGAAAGCGUGGGGAGCAAACAGGAUUAGAUACCCCUGUAGUC
rnacentral:rRNA from 1 species